UGUACGUGUGUGUGUGUGUGUGUGUAUAUAUAUAUAUAUAUACAUAUACACACACACACACACCAAUGAAAUAGA
rnacentral:miRNA from 1 species